GGAGGGCCAGUGACAAAAGUAGGGGGGCACAUUUAACCCCGCCCUUGUCGCAGUUUGACCCCGCCCCUGUCGCAUGUUAAGCCACGCCCCCGACACAAUGUGUUUUGUUUUUUUAAUAAUACCUGGUGGAGGAUUCAUUAUUUUCCACCAGGGAUUAUUAAAAAACCAAACACAUUAUCCUUGAUACAGUGCCAUAGUUGCCAACAUUUGAAAAAAAAUUUCCAAGGACAUUUUGCAGCACAGCUAUCAAUUACUGUCUGGGUAUAAUAUCCCUCGACAGUCAGUGCUCUCUGUAUAAUACAGGGUUGUGUGUAUAAUAAAUUG